ensembl:lncRNA
CACGAGGACAGAUGGACAAGUUGGAGAACCCUGGGGACCCUUCCCAAGGGGCUUGUAGGGCUACAUAACUUGGGUUUAGAUGUCAUCUUUGUCCUCUAAGCAGUUUGCAACCAAGCAAACUGAUGAGAGAGGCAAAUAUUGGAUAGGGAUAAUCAAAUAAAUGUGCUAUGUUGGACACUGUGACGGGAAGAAGAUGGAAGAGAGAGGAUGUGAGCAUGUAUAUUUGAAGACGAGGGAAAGAGUGGCUGUGGCAGAAAAAUCAACUCGUACACUGAGUGAGUCAUGUGCAGUUUUCCGGAGUACACAGACUCUUCACCUAUGGUUGGAUUCCCAGGGGACCAUGGUUCCUAAGACUCCCACAGGCCCCCGACGAACUCGGAUGGAUCUUCGCCCUGGCCAGGAGCCCAGCCUAAGAGCCAGCCCGGACAGCGCUGCCCCUCCCCUCCAAGCGACAGCAUUGUGAAGACUGGAGAGCAAAACGGGUCGCCCACAAGGAAACUCCAGAAAGCGGGCAGUCAGAAGUGCUGCAGGGAGCACUUCCGGCACAGCCUCUGCGGGCGGUCAGAGGUGCGGGCGGUCAGAGGUGCGGCCUGGGGUCGCCGGCGGACUGUUCCCAUGCUUGUGAGUGUCGGGUUGUAGGAGUGGAGCAGCUUCUAGGAGUAGUGACUGGGUUGGUAUGACAGCCAGGGCUCUCACCUUUGAACCUCAAGUGAGUCCCUCCCUGAGGACCAAGCUGGGAGACCCAAGAAACACACUGGGCACCGCCCCUCUCUUGGCCGCUCCCACUUGAAUCAAGGCCACCAAGACCCUUUUCUCACCUGGAAAGGGCAAUCAGGCAGAUCUGAAGAUGGCCGUGCUGCUAGAGGAAAGUCUGCACGCCGCAGACUCAGCAGCACCACCCGCUUCACAGACCUCUGUACCUCCCAGGAAGUCUCUUACCGCCAACAGUUUCUCACCUCCUCUGUCUGGGUAUCGGGUCAGUCUCUUCAGAAAUAAACCGUGAAUGGUGUUUGUGAC